rnacentral:misc_RNA from 1 species
AGUGAGGCAGACCUCCUUCAUCAGGUGAAUGUGAUUAUCUAAUCUUGAAGUGUAAAAUAAGGUACUAAGAAAUUAAGAAUACCACGAACUGCUCUUAAUUACCCUAUAGUGUGUUAGAUACAAAAUUUAUGUGUGAAAAGAAAAGGGAAAAUAUAAUUAGAAUUGAAAAGGAAGAUAAUAUUGUGAGUAUGAACUAUGAACCAUUUAAGUCCAAAGAACUGAAGUUUAGCAACUGGCCAAUUUUUUGAA